GAAAUGCGAUAAGUAAUGUGAAUUGCAGAAUUCAGUGAAUCAUCGAAUCUUUGAACGCACCUUGCGCUCCUUGGUAUUCCUUGGAGCAUGCCUGUUUGAGUAUCAUGAAAUCUUCAAAGUAAAUCUUUUGUUAAUUCAAUUGGUUUCUACUUUGGUAUUGGAGGUCUUUGCAGCUUCACACCUGCUCCUCUUUGUUCAUUAGCUGGAUCUCAGUGUUAUGCUUGGUUCCACUCGGCGUGAUAAGUUAUCUAUCGCUGAGGACACUGUAAAAGGUGGCCAAGGUAAAUGCAGAUGAGCCGCUUCUAAUAGUCCAUUGACUUGGACAAUACUUUUAUGAUCUGAUCUCAAAUCAGGUAGGACUACCCGCUGAACUUAAGC
rnacentral:misc_RNA from 1 species